rfam:Colwellia sp. PAMC 21821, complete genome.
CGUAUGGUGCUUGGCAGCAAUAAUGACUGAUCAAGUGGCGAUACGGCCUUAACAGAGGU